rnacentral:rRNA from 1 species
AGAAUCAACGCUGGCGGCGUGCCUAACACAUGCAAGUCGCACGAGAAAGUGGAGCAAUCCAUGAGUAAAGUGGCGCACGGGUGAGUAACACGUGAAUUAUCUACCUCCGAGUGGGGAAUAACUGAGAGAAAUCUUAGCUAAUACCGCAUAACACUUACGAGUCAAAGCAGCAAUGCGCUUGGAGAGGAGUUCGCGGCCGAUUAGUUAGUGGCGGGGUAAUGGCCCACCAAGACGAUGAUCGGUA